GCUCGGGUGGCGGAAUUGGCAGACGCGCUAGCUUGAGGGGCUAGUGGUAGCAAUACCGUGCGGGUUCGACUCCCGCUCCGAGCACCA
rnacentral:tRNA from 1 species